UACGUAGGCAGCAAGCGUUGUUCGGAGUUACUGGGCGUAAAGGGUGCGUAGGCGGCUUUUUAAGUCUGGUGUGAAAUGUCCCGGCUCAACUGGGAGGGUGCGCCGGAUACUGAGGGGCUAGAGUGUGGGAGAGGAAAGUGGAAUUCCUGGUGUAGCGGUGAAAUGCGUAGAUAUCAGGAGGAACACCGGUGGUGUAAACGGCUUUCUGGACCAUAACUGACGCUGAGGCACGAAAGCGUGGGUAGCAAACAGG
rnacentral:rRNA from 1 species